rnacentral:rRNA from 1 species
GAUGAACGCUGGCGGCGUGCUUAACACAUGCAAGUCGAACGAGAAGUGAAGACGGACUCCUUCGGGCGGAAGGCUUUAUUUCGAGUGGCGGACGGGUGAGUAACGCGUGGGUAACCUGCCUCAUACAGGGGGAUAACAGUUGGAAACGACUGUUAAUACCGCAUAAGACCACAGCACCGCAUGGUGCGGGGGUAAAAACUCCGGUGGUAUUAGAUGGAUCCGCGUUCGAUUAGCCAGUUGGCGGGGUAACGGCCCACCAGAGCGACGAUCGAUAGCCGGUCUGGGAGGAAGACCGGCCACAUUAGGACUGAGCCACGGCGCCAACUCCUACGGGAGGCAGCAGUGGGGAAUAUUGCACAAUGGAGGAAAUCCUGAUGCUGCGACGCAGCGAAAGUGAAGAAGUAUUUGGGGAUGUAAAGCUCUAUCAGCACGGACGGAAAUGACGGUACCUGAGGAAGAAGCCCCGGCUAACUACGUG